rnacentral:rRNA from 1 species
GGGCUGCAGUAUAUUGACUGUACAAAGGUAGCAUAAUCAUUAGUCAUUUAAUUGAUGACUUGUAUGAAAGAUUGGAUGAAAUAUAAGCUGUCUCUUUAUUAUUUAUAGAAUUUAAUUUUUUAAUUAAAAAGUUAAAAUAAAUUAAAAAGACGAGAAGACCCUAUAGAGUUUUAUAUUUAAAUUAAUUAAGAUUAUUUAUAAAUUUUUUAAUUAAAAUUAAUUUAUAUAUUUUGUUGGGGUGAUAAAAAAAUAAGAAUAACUUUUUUUAAAGAUUAACAUAUAUAAGUGAUUUAAUGAUCCAAUAUUAUUGAUUAUAAGAAAAAAUUACCUUAGGGAUAACAGCGUAAUUUUUUUUUUUAGUUCAAAUAAAAAAAAGAGUUUGCGACCUCGAUGUUGGAUUAAGAUAAAAUUUAAAUG